UGCUCCGGUGGGAGGGGCGCCCUUCCCAAAGCACCACGACGGUGAAAGCACCUCACCAAGCCCCACCCCACCCUCCCGCCGCGUCGCACGCCGCCUCACCCGGGCGAGUGAACAUCACCAACUCGGCUGGAUUUUCGGCUGGUUGCCGGCCUUACUCUCAGCGCAACACAACCGCAGACAUGCGACGGCCCCCGCCGGGACUGCAAUCCCAGUGCGAGGGCCUGACCGCCGAGGAAGAACGAGGCUCUUCCUG
rnacentral:ncRNA from 1 species